GUACACUCCUGCGGGAGGCAGCAGUGGGGAAUUUUGGACAAUGGGCGAAAGCCUGAUCCAGCAAUGCCGCGUGAGUGAAGAAGGCCUUCGGGUUGUAAAGCUCUUUUGUCAGGGAAGAAACGGUGAGAGCUAAUAUCUCUUGCUAAUGACGGUACCUGAAGAAUAAGCACCGGCUAACUACGUGCCAGCAGCCGCGGUAAUACGUAGGGUGCAAGCGUUAAUCGGAAUUACUGGGCGUAAAGCGUGCGCAGGCGGUUUUGUAAGUCUGAUGUGAAAUCCCCGGGCUCAACCUGGGAAUUGCAUUGGAGACUGCAAGGCUAGAAUCUGGCAGAGGGGGGUAGAAUUCCACGUGUAGCAGUGAAAUGCGUAGAUAUGUGGAGGAACACCGAUGGCGAAGGCAGCCCCCUGGGUCAAGAUUGACGCUCAUGCACGAAAGCGUGGGGAGCAAACAGGAUUAGAUACCCCAGUAGUCCC
rnacentral:rRNA from 1 species